ensembl:snRNA U6 U6 spliceosomal RNA
UGCUCACCUUGGUGGGCCCUAUACUAAAACUAGAAGGAUAAACUGAAGAUUAGCAUGGAUCCUGUGCAAAGAUGACAUCAAUUAUAUAGUGCUCCGUUGUUUUUUA